GAUGAACGCUGGCGGCGUGCCUAAUACAUGCAAGUCGAGCGAACGGACGAGAAGCUUGCUUCUCUGAUGUUAGCGGCGGACGGGUGAGUAACACGUGGAUAACCUACCUAUAAGACUGGGAUAACUUCGGGAAACCGGAGCUAAUACCGGAUGAUAUUUUGAACCGCAUGGUUCAAAAGUGAAAGACGGUCUUGCUGUCACUUAUAGAUGGAUCCGCGCUGCAUUAGCUAGUUGGUAAGGUAACGGCUUACCAAGGCAACGAUGCAUAGCCGACCUGAGAGGGUGAUCGGCCACACUGGAACUGAGACACGGUCCAGACUCCUACGGGAGGCAGCAGUAGGGAAUCUUCCACAAUGGGCGAAAGCCUGACGGAGCAACGCCGCGUGAGUGAUGAAGGUCUUCGGAUCGUAAAACUCUGUUAGUUGGGAAGAAGAGAUGUGUAAGUAACUGUGCACAUCUUGACGGUACCUAAUCAGAAAGCCACGGCUAACUACGUG
rnacentral:rRNA from 1 species